AAGUACCCUCUACAGACUACAAUAGUACAAACAUAAAAGUUAAAAGUACAAUUGAAUUACAAACAUCUCGUGUCUGUUCACGAAGUUUAAAGGUUGAAGUGUCGCGGCUUAUGGUUUUGGAAAUGUGGUCAACCUAUCUUUGUGAAAAAAACAUACUGUAUAUGCCAGUUAAGAAAUUUGCAGUAUGCUUUGGCUAUUACAUAUCCAUUUGUAGGAGCUGGGCUUACCAGGACUGCGAGUCCAGCGGCUCAUUGUUCUCAUCUUUUCACCUCAAAAAUCCAUGCUACACUUUGGGGCCAUGGAUGCAGUGUUAGAGUGAUGGUGAAAUCCCACUGUUUGGUCAGAUAAGAGAAGCCUGAGGCUGUGGGCUUUACUGCUACUGGACUAAAUACAUAUCAUACAGAACCAGGAAAAGUAGGCAAAAUUUUCUGUGAUACCUGUGGAAAACAGUAUUCAUCAAAAAAGUCUUUGUCGGCACACCGACACCAUCAGCACAGGA